CCUACGGGAGGCAGCAGUGGGGAAUCUUGCGCAAUGGGCGAAAGCCUGACGCAGCAACGCCGCGUGCGGGAUGAAGGCCUUCGGGUUGUAAACCGCUUUUAACAGGAACGAAAAUGACGGUACCCGUAGAAUAAGGUGCGGCCAACUACGUGCCAGCAGCCGCGGUAAU
rnacentral:rRNA from 1 species